rnacentral:rRNA from 1 species
CGUCCGUAGGAUGGGAUUAGAAUGUUAGUCGUGCGCCUCCUAGCCAUGAUGGAGGCGCGGCGCACAGCUCAGUAGCACAUGGCUAACCUGCCCUUGGGACGAGAACAACCCCGGGAAACUGGGGCCAAUUCUCGAUAGGUGAAGCUUCCUGGAAUGGAUUUUCGCCCAAAAGACGCUUAGGUCAUGCUUCUAGGCGUUGCCUAAGGAUGGGGCCGUGGCCGAUCAGGUUGUUGGUGAGGUAAUGGCUCACCAAGCCUAUAACCGGUGCGGGCCGUGGGAGCGGGAGCCCGGAGAUGGGAACUGAGACAAGAUCCCAGGCCCUACGGGGCGCAGCAGUCGCGCAAACUUCGCAAUAAGCGAAAGCUUGACGGGGCUAUCCCGAGUGCCAUCCGCUGAGGAUGGCUUUUCUCUAGUGUAGAUAGCUGGGGGAAUAAGGAGAGGGCAAGUCUGGUGUCAGCCGCCGCGGUAAUACCAGCUCUCCGAGUGGUGAGGACGAUUAUUGGGCCUGAAGCAUCCGUAGCCGGCUGGGCAAGUCCCCUGUUAAAUCCAACGAACUAAUCGCUGGCCUGCAGGGGAUACUGCUCGGCUAGGGGGCGGGAGAGGCCGUCGGUAUUCUUGGGGUAGGGGUGAAAUCCUAUAAUCCCAGGAGGACCACCAGUGGCGAAGGCUGUCGGCUAGAACGCGCUCGACGGUGAGGGAUGAAAGCUGGGGGAGCGAACCGGAUUAGAUACCCGGGUAGUCCCAGCUGUAAACGAUGCAGGCUAGGUGUUAGGGCGGCCACGUGCCGCUCUAGUGCCGCAGGGAAACUGUUAAGCCUGCCGCCUGGGGAGUACGGCCGCAAGGCUGAAACUUAAAGGAAUUGGCGGGGGAGCACCACAAGGGGUGAAGCUUGCGGUUUAAUUGGAGUCAACGCCGGG